AUUGAACGCUGGCGGCAGGCCUAACACAUGCAAGUCGAGCGGAUGAGUGGAGCUUGCUCUAUGAUUCAGCGGCGGACGGGUGAGUAAUGCCUAGGAAUCUGCCUGGUAGUGGGGGACAACGUUUCGAAAGGAACGCUAAUACCGCAUACGUCCUACGGGAGAAAGCAGGGGACCUUCGGGCCUUGCGCUAUCAGAUGAGCCUAGGUCGGAUUAGCUAGUUGGUGAGGUAAAGGCUCACCAAGGCGACGAUCCGUAACCGGUCUGAGAGGAUGAUCAGUCACACUGGAACUGAGACACGGUCCAGACUCCUACGGGAGGCAGCAGUGGGGAAUAUUGGACAAUGGGCGAAAGCCUGAUCCAGCCAUGCCGCGUGUGUGAAGAAGGUCUUCGGAUUGUAAAGCACUUUAAGUUGGGAGGAAGGGCAGUAAGUUAAUACCUUGCUGUUUUGGCGUUACCGACAGAAUAAGCACCGGCUAACUUCGUGCCAGCAGCCGCCGUAAGAC
rnacentral:rRNA from 1 species